rnacentral:rRNA from 1 species
AUUGAACGCUGGCGGCAUGCUUUACACAUGCAAGUCGAACGGUAACAGGCCGCAAGGUGCUGACGAGUGGCGAACGGGUGAGUAAUGCAUCGGAACGUUCCCAGUCGUGGGGGAUAACUACUCGAAAGAGUAGCUAAUACCGCAUACGAUCUAUGGAUGAAAGCGGGGGACCGUAAGGCCUCGCGCGAUUUGAGCGGCCGAUGUCAGAUUAGGUAGUUGGUGGGGUAAAGGCUCACCAAGCCAACGAUCUGUAGCUGGUCUGAGAGGACGACCAGCCACACUGGGACUGAGACACGGCCCAGACUCCUACGGGAGGCAGCAGUGGGGAAUUUUGGACAAUGGGCGCAAGCCUGAUCCAGCAAUGCCGCGUGCAGGAAGAAGGCCUUCGGGUUGUAAACUGCUUUUGUACGGAACGAAACGGCUCUGGUUAAUACCCGGGGCUAAUGACGGUACCGUAAGAAUAAGCACCGGCUAACUACGUG